AACGGUAACAGAGGUAAGGUUGUUCAUCGGAAUGGUGCAAUAUUUAGCAAAAUUCUUACCCAGGCUAUGUGAUCUGCUUGCACCCUUUUAUGCAUUAAUGAAAAAGGGUUCUGAGUUUAAAUGGCAAAAAUGUCACUAACAAGCAUUCUCGGAAAUAUGCCAUGAUUUAACAAUAACACCGUGCUUAGCCAUCUUUGACCCAUCACGUCCAAUAGUACUAACGGCGGACUCGGAGCAGUAUUACGCAUUCAAGAAACAAAUGGAAAUUGGAGGCCAGUGGCAUAUGCAUUAAGGACUCUAAGCGAAACCGAAAAGCGCUAUGUACAAAUUGAGAAGGAAGCUCUGGCGCUGACUUGAGCUUGUGAGAAAUUUCACGAAUUUAUUUACGGAGCACACUUCAAGCUGGAAACGGAUCAUAAGCCGUUGGUUCCAUUACUUCAGGCCAAAAAUCUGGAUGAAUUAAGCCCCCGUUUUCAACGUCUAAGAAUGAGAUUGAUGCAUGACGACUUCGAAGUGUUUCACUCACCAGGAAAAGAUAUCGUUGAUGCAGAUCACUUAAGUCGUGCGCCAAUACUGGAUAAAUCUAUUCAAGUGUCGGACCUAUCUGAAGAGGUGGAAGCUCACGUAAACACGGUAGUGCAACAUUGUGAGAUAUCGGAACGCGCGCGAGUCUCAUCUGGUAAAGCGAAUGAUUAGAGGCCUUGGGGCUGAAACGACCUCAACCUAUUCUCAAACUUUAAAUGGGUGAGAUCUCUGACUUUCUUGAACCAUGAAGUCACGAGUAUCUCGGAUCAGAGUGCCAAGUGGGCCAUUUUUGGUAAGCAGAACUGGCUGUGGGAUAAACCAUACGUAGAGUUAAGGCGCCCAACUCGACGCUCAUGGGACACCAUGAAAGGCGUUGGUUGCUUAAGACAGCAGGACGGUAGCCAUCAAAGUCAUAAUCCGCUAUGUAACAAUUCACCUGCCGAAGCAACUAGCCCUGAAAAUAGAUGGCGCUGAAGCGUCAAGCCUAUACUCUGCCGUCAGCAGCAAGUGGAGCGGCCGCGUGCGCGUCGCGAGGCGCAUACGCGCCGCCACGAGGCCCUGACGAGUAGGAGUGUCGCGGCGGUGUGCGCAGAAAGGUCUUGGCGCGAGCCUGCCUGGAGCAGCCGUCGGUGCAGAUCUUGGUGGUAGUAGCAAAUACUCCAGCGAGGUCCUGGAGGACUGACGUGGAGAAGGGUUUCGUGUGAACAGCCGUUACACACGAGUCAGUCGAUCCUAAGCUCUAGGAGAAAUCCUAUGUCAAUGACGGCGUACGAUACUCUAGUGUCGCAUUCUUGCAACUCUGCAAAUAAAGAGAGGAGAGAGAAACACACGCCCGUCGGGCGAAAGGGAAUCCGGUUCCUAUUCCGGAACCCGGCAGCGGAACCGCAUACAAUUCGGGCUCUCGUAAGAGUGUUCGUCGUGGUAACCCAAAAUGGAGACGCCGUCGGGAGAUCCGGGAAGAGUUUUCUUUUUUGUAUAAGUGUUCGAGUUCUCUGGAAACAUCUAGCAGGGAGAUAGGGUUUGGAACGCGAAGAGCACCGCGGUUGCGGCGAUGUCCGGAUCUUCCCCUCGGACCUUAAAAAUCCAGGAGAGGGCCACGUGGAGGUGUCGCACCGGCUCGUACCCAUAUCCGCAGCAGUCUCAAAGGUAAAGAACCUCUAGUCGAUAGACUAAUGUAGGUAAGGGAAGUCGGCAAAUUGGAUCCGUAACUUCGGAAUAAGGAUUGGCUCUGAGGAGCUGGGCGUGUCGGGCUUGGUCGGAAAGCGGGUCUGGCUGACGUGCCGGGCCUGGGCGAGGUGAACGUUCGGGUGUUCUCGCGCCAGUUCCGGGAUCCGAGCUCGGUCUCGUGCCUUGGUCUCCCGCGGAUCUUCCUUGCUGUGAGGCUUCCGUGACGGCGCGAGCUGUCGUGGUCGUCCUCUUCGGCCGCCAUUCAACGCUCAGCUCAGAACUGGCACGGACUAGGGGAAUCUGACUGUCUAGUUAAAACGAAGCAUUGCGAUGGCCCUCGCGGGUGUUGACGCAAUGUGAUUUCUGUCCAGUGCUCUGAAUGUCAACGUAAAGAAAUUCAAGCAAGCGCAGGUAAACGGCGGGAGUAACCAUGACUCUCUUAAGGCCGUCAAAAAUCUGUUAGAAGGUAAGAGGAAUAAUGCAAGGACGAAUAGAAGGAAGAAACAGGGAACCAAGAGCAGAAAACAGUAUAGAUAUGCCAGGGCGCAAGAGUUGUACAGGAAAAAUCCAGGCCUUUUGGCAAAAUAUGUGAGGGAGGGUAUCGACUUGACUGAGGAAUCAACAGUAAACCUCGGGACAGAAGAUAUAGAAAAUCUGUACAACUCGUUGUGGGGCACGAAGCCCCACAUCAACCCUUCGGAGUUUGGGGAGGCAGAGCCACAGUUACAACUGGACGAAGUACUUACCCCAAUCUCAAUGAAGGAAAUAAAAGACCGGAUCACCCGGACAAAGGCUAAUGUGGCGCCAGGUCCGGAUGAGCUAUGCAAAAAGGAUGUAAGCCGUGUGGCGGACAUGGAAGUUCUCUGG
rnacentral:rRNA from 1 species